GUCUAAUUAGUAAAUUUUGUGUACUCUAUUUAGAAGUCCAAGUUCAAUUGAAUAAGGAGUUCAAAUAUAACUUUAAAGUGAUGAGUUAUCUUGACUAUAUAUAUAUAUACCUGAAUGCAGUGCUUCAUUUUAGAGAGUAAAAGUUGCAAAGAAAAUUCUGAAGAUGGUCCAAAUUUGACCAUCUUGUACCUUAGUCAUGAUGCUUAGGAAAUUUGGUGUGAUGCCUAAGAAUUUCCAAGUGUUAAGCACAGAACCCAUCAUUUUUUUUUUUCAAUUUCUUGACUAAAUAAGAAUU
rnacentral:misc_RNA from 1 species